CGGGUGCGUUAAUGGGCGUCGAGCGGCGGACGGGUGAGUAAUGCCUAGGAAAUUGCCUUGAUGUGGGGGAUAACCAUUGGAAACGAUGGCUAAUACCGCAUAAUGCCUACGGGCCAAAGAGGGGGAUCUUCGGACCUCUCGCGUCAAGAUAUGCCUAGGUGGGAUUAGCUAGUUGGUGAGGUAAUGGCUCACCAAGGCGACGAUCCCUAGCUGGUCUGAGAGGAUGAUCAGCCACACUGGAACUGAGACACGGUCCAGACUCCUACGGGAGGCAGCAGUGGGGAAUAUUGCACAAUGGGCGAAAGCCUGAUGCAGCCAUGCCGCGUGUAUGAAGAAGGCCUUCGGGUUGUAAAGUACUUUCAGUUGUGAGGAAGGGUGUGUAGUUAAUAGCUGCGCAUCUUGACGUUAGCAACAGAAGAAGCACCGGCUAACUCCGUGCCAGCAGCCGCGGUAAUACGGAGGGUGCGAGCGUUAAUCGGAAUUACUGGGCGUAAAGCGCAUGCAGGUGGUUCAUUAAGUCAGAUGUGAAAGCCCGGGGCUCAACCUCGGAACUGCAUUUGAAACUGGUGAACUAGAGUGCUGUAGAGGGGGGUAGAAUUUCAGGUGUAGCGGUGAAAUGCGUAGAGAUCUGAAGGAAUACCAGUGGCGAAGGCGGCC
rnacentral:rRNA from 1 species